rnacentral:ncRNA from 1 species
CCUCCGUGAUCGGAAUCGGGAAUUGCAAUUAUUUCCCUUGAACGAGGAAUUCCUAGUAAAUGUGAGCCAUCAGCUCACGUUGAUUAAGUCCCUUGUUAUU